GACGUAGGAUGCAAGCGUUGUCCGGAUUUAUUGGGCGUAAAGAGUUCGUAGGGGGUUUGUUAAGUCUGAUGUUAAAGACUGGGGCUCAACCUCGGAAAUGCAUUGGAUACUGGCAGACUUGAGUGUGGUAGAGGCAAUCGGAAUUCCAGGUGUAGCGGUGAGAUGCGUAGAUAUCUGGAAGAACACCGGUGGCGCAAGCGGAUUGCUGGGCCAUAACUGACACUGAGGAACGAAAGCUAGGGGAGCAAAUGGG
rnacentral:rRNA from 1 species